UGGACAGCGUGAGGGGCAGCUGUGGCAAAGGAUGCCUCCUGAAUUCCACGAUCAUCUCUACAGUGCAAACUUCAGCAGUUUGAUAGCUGGGUGCGUUGAGUUGCAGUCAUUCGUGUAUAGAGAGAAGAGCAGCGGAGAGGGAACACAUCCUUGGGGGAUCCCCGGUUCUGAUGGUGCGUGUGGAUGAGUGGGUGUCCCCCUGCCUUACCUGCUGUGUCCUGGCCGCCAGAAAGCUGUAAAUCCACAGGCAGAUGUUAGGCGUGACGCUGCGCAAGACGAGGUGGGUGUGGAGUGUGGAAAUGUCCUUUUCAAAUUUACAGUAGAAGUUGUUCAUGUUGUCAGCAUGCAAGAAAUGAAUCGUUAUAUUAAUCUGAGGAGUGCUUGAUGUUUUCAUAGACUCAUGGAACACAUUGUUCAUUCUUCAGAUGUACCCAGGCCACCCACUCAUUUGUCAUAUCUGGCAUAUUAUUAGUUAUGUUACUACAGCCGUUGCUAUACUUAACCUUGGGUUUGUCGAAUGAAUUGUCUUUGUCUGGCAUGAAUUGUUGAGCUUUUGAUUUAGAUCAUCAUGAAAGUACAGUAUCAAAUGCCCAGGUGGAAAUUAGCAUGACAUUUUGAAAAUGGUGUCAAUGCUUUCUUAUAAAUGUGUGUCAGUGAAUGAAGAUUGAUGGAGGAGACUUGGCCUCCUCAGACAGGAUUAAUGGCUAAAUUGAGCUUGUUGGAUAUUUUCCACCAUAAACAUCACCUGAUUAAGACACUGAAGAUUGUGUGCUUUGAAUGUGAAUGAUAAUUUGAAACGUUGAUUGUUCCAAUAGUCUGGUCUGUUGCUCUUCUUAAAUCACACAUGCAGAAAUUACGAGCUGGUGAGUGGGAAGGUAAGGAAGGAGAGAGUGCACAAACUCCAUCAUGGACAAUUGUUCACAUCCACUCCUUGACAUUCUGCAUACCCUGUUCCUCGAUAUGUCAUCACAGUACCUACCGACCGUUCCACCCAUCCAUCCAUCCAUGCAUCUAUUCUCUAUCCUUCAGGCAAAAAUGUGAAAGUCAAUCUGCAAAAAAUGCCUUCAUCCCUAUCAGAGGUCUAGCCCCCAACCUCUCACCACCGGGUGGCUGCGACUGGGAGACACCGAACCUCCCUGCCGCGCUGCCAAGCGUGGACCGCAGGUAGCACCUCAUGUUGCCCUGAUGUAAAUCCACUCUGCUUAUCACCUGGAACAACCUGCGUAUGCACAUUCCCCAAAGACAAAAAAACGACAAGUCGCUAAAACCUGGACGUUCCAAUGGGCAGCAACCUCACGAAAAGACACAAAGACCCUCUGGACGACAAACUUCAAUUUCUUCAGAUUUUGCAUGAGAAUGCUGAGAGUUUCCAUCCUCUGGAGUUGCCUGCCAAAAGUGUUAAUAAAUGACUAUUAUGUCACUUAUAAAUCACAGCAUACCAUAACAAUGUCCAAUGCGCUCCAGGAUCUCUGAGGACUCUAGCGACUGCACAAUAUUGCAUUAUUGUGACACAUUAGCACUUUUCUGUCCUGUUCUGACUUCUUUGAUAUCAUCCACAUCAAAGGUUUAGAAAAACAAUUAGCUCACCCAAAUCAAAUUGUUCUGUGACUAAUUCUGAAUAUGAUGUUCAUCUCAGUCGACACACAUAUAAGUACAUAUACUUGAAGUCCAAGUCCUCUUUGUGGUGCUUGCACAACUUAAGUCAUAGUUACACUCUAAACGCGCGCACUCGAAUUGAAAAAUGUUCAAUUCGAGAGUGGUGUCGAGAUGACAUCCAAUCGGAAAAGCGAAGUGAUUGAAGAGUGCAAACAGUAAUCGACCAACCGGUGGGAAAAGCCUCCUUGUAACAUCUUGGUUGGCCGUUAUGCAAGUUCUUCCGAAUAUGGGCGAGCUUGCAACAAGCCGCGCUGUCGUCCUUGCGCGCUAAUGGCCCUAAUGAAGAGAAACAAUAGAAAAGCCACAAUAACAGAAUUAGCUCAUAGACACCAUUAGCGUUAGCCACAAUUAGUAGUGUGCUCCAAGCAUAAAGAUGCAUAGACGUACAAAAUGCGCUUGAGAUCACACGUGACUAUUGAUCUCAGGUUUGAUGUGGUCAGGAGUCAAGCACGUUUUGUUUUGUGAUCUUGCGUUCUGAGCCGUGUGCCGUGUUUCUAUAUGCACCCGAGAGAAGUAGGGCAGGCUUGCGGGCCACGGUUAGUCGAUGCAGUCAAUAUCUGCACUGGGGCAAAACAUCGACUCCACGCUAACCGUCUUGCGUCGGGCCAUUAGGAUCCACCGGCACAGUGAGGGAUGGAUUCGGCUGCUGCAAUGUGGGCCAUAAAAUCAUCAUCGCCUCCCCCCCCUCCACAGAGGUCUAGUCAUCAAUAGUAACAAGGGCUUACAUGGUCACACAGAGGCUGGCAUGACGGAAAGGACACCUUCAAAUGUAACGGCCGCACUCGCUUCCACAACAACACGAUGGAGGUUCGGAUUGUGUCGGCGUGCCAGUCAAGUUAGUGUGGUCCAAAGCAUCAUGAGCUUUUGAUAAUCACUGUUGCCAAACGUAUUGAAAAGGAGGCCACAUCAUCAUGUAAUUCUUUGCGUUGAGAGGGGGCAUGUUUUUCCCAAUUCUUUUUAAAAACCUUUUCGUUGAUUACUUUAAUCCAGAUUACCAAAUUAGAAAUGAACCUCAAAAUAACAUUCAUCCAUUCAUCCAUUUUCUAUGCUGCUUGUCUGUCCCAGCUGACCCUGUACUUGUUGCCAGUAAAUCAUAGGAUCACAUUAUUAUUAUUAUUAUUAUGACAACAUUUUUAUGUAAUAAUAUACUAUACAAUGAUGGUAGAAAUGCUGUUGAAGUUCAAGACGUACUGUAUCUCACAUUUGUUAUACAAUAUCUUGUCAUGGGACAACACUGAUGACGUGACACUUUGCUACAGUGCUUUACAGUGAAUUUACUGUGCCCUCAAAAGAACUCAACACACGCCCAUUAUUAUCUAAAUCGAUGGCAACAAAAGUGAGCACAGCCCAAAGCCCAAAGUCUUAAUAUUUUACGAGGCUACCAUUAUUGAUGACAUCAUGGAGCUGUCGAUAAUAGAGAUAAUACUGUGCACCUCUACUUUCAGUUUGCGGAUGCCCCACAGAUGCUUAAUAGGGUUUAGGUCUGCGGACAUUCUUGGCCAGUCCGUCACUUUUACCCUCCGCUUGUUGACUGUGUUUGGUGUUUGCGGUCAUUAUUGAGGUUAAAUAUCGCCCUUCGGCCGAAGCCAGUGUGUCAAUUAUUGUUCCCUCAAUGAACUUUUGCUCCGCAGUACUGGCACCAGACCACGAACACACGUAUCGCCAGCUCUUGUCCAGUCUGCAGCAUUCAGACUGAUGUUGUGUAAGGUUUUAUUGUCAAAGAUUUGUGCAUUCCUAACAACAAAUUCCUCAUGAACUUGAUUUUAAACAGUAUGUUAUAUUUACAUAUGGAGUGUAGUCAAAACUGCUUUUGUCAUUGCUAUUUCUUCCCAAGGUGAACAAUAUUAAAGAUUCAAGAUGUUUAUUGUCAUCUACACAGUAAAAAUAGAACAAUUAAAUUAUUGCUUCGGUAGUCUCACGCCAGUUAGACAAAGAUAAUAUUAAUAUAGGAGUUAAAAAAUAAAAAGAUGAUAUAUAAUAACAUAAUAUAUUUCAAAACAAAAUCAGGAAGUUAUUUAUCUCACCCAGUGUUGAGAAGAUUACUUUGGAAAUUAGUUGGUUACAAUUACAAGUUACCCUAUUGAAAAUGUAAUUGGAGUGUAAGUAUUUCAAUUACUUUCUCAAAGUAAUACAACUAAUUGCGUUUGAUUACAUUUUGAGUACUUUUCUUCAUUUUGAAUGAAUGCAUCUGCAGGAUCCUUGGAUGUUACCUCGAAAGAAGUGGAUUAAAACCAUAGAAACCUUUGCAAAAUGUAAGAAAAACUAAUCGUUGGCACCACAAGUUUGCAUUUCGAGGUCAUAUUUGAAAAACUAAUGUCAUGUUUGAGACUAUGGCAGAAUGGCACAUGACCAGAGAGAGCCAAUCACAAGCAUCCGCUUUAGAAGAAGGAAGUAAUGUGGGGGAAAAAAACCCAAAAUCUUUUUCUCCGAUUUCGGAUCAUGAGGUGCUCUAUUGAACUUCCAGUGACCAGUAUGAGAGUGUGGGAGGGAUGACACUAAAUGUAACACAGCCUCCUCUCCAUUUACACCUGUAGCCGAAUGCGCUCAACAAACUGAGGUGCCACAGGGACUCCCGACCACUUGAUAUCCCCACUCCUCCACGCUGCCCUGCUGUGAGACGGCCACUAGGAGAAGGCCUGGUGUACGUCAAGUGGACCUCAACCUAAUUAGCAGCUUCUCGUCAAAUCUUGAUUCCUAGCUUCAAAAGAGUCCUUUCCCGACCAAAAGCUUGAGGGGACCCACCCUCAAACAUGCAUGUG